CCUGGCUCAGAUUGGACGCUGGCGGCAGGCUUAACACAUGCAAGUCGAGCGGAGCGAGGGUGCUUGCACCUUAGCUUAGCGGCGGACGGGUGAGUAAUGCUUAGGAAUCUGCCUAUUAGUGGGGGACAACAUUCCGAAAGGGAUGCUAAUACCGCAUACGCCCUACGGGGGAAAGCAGGGGAUCUUCGGACCUUGCGCUAAUAGAUGAGCCUAAGUCGGAUUAGCUAGUUGGUGGGGUAAAGGCCUACCAAGGCGACGAUCUGUAGCGGGUCUGAGAGGAUGAUCCGCCACACUGGGACUGAGACACGGCCCAGACUCCUACGGGAGGCAGCAGAAGGG
rnacentral:rRNA from 1 species